rnacentral:rRNA from 1 species
AGGGAAGGUAGUGUAGUUAACACCUGCACUAUUUGACGUUACCUACAGAAGAAGCACCGGCUAACUCCGUGCCAGCAGCCGCGGUAAUACGGAGGGUGCGAGCGUUAAUCGGAAUUACUGGGCGUAAAGCGCAUGCAGGCGGCCUGUUAAGUCAGAUGUGAAAGCCCGGGGCUUAACCUCGGAAUUGCAUUUGAAACUGGCAGGCUAGAGUCUUGUAGAGGGGGGUAGGAAUUUCAGGUGUAGCGGUGAAAUGCGUAGAGAUCUGAAGGAAUACCAGUGGCGAAGGCGGCCCCCUCGGACAAAGACUGACGCUCAGAUGCGAAAGCGUGGGGAGCAAACAGGAUUAGAUACCCUGGUAG